UAGGGAAUCUUCCGCAAUGGACGCAAGUCUGACGGAGCAACGCCGCGUGAGUGAAGAAGGAUUUCGGUUCGUAAAACUCUGUUGUUAGAGAAGAACAGCGCAUAGAGUAACUGUUAUGCGUGUGACGGUAUCUAACCAGAAAGCCACGGCUAACUACGUGCCAGCAGCCGCGGUAAUACGUAGGUGGCAAGCGUUGUCCGGAUUUAUUGGGCGUAAAGCGAGCGCAGGCGGUCAAUUAAGUCUGAUGUGAAAGCCCCCGGCUCAACCGGGGAGGGUCAUUGGAAACUGGUUGACUUGAGUGCAGAAGAGGAGAGUGGAAUUCCAUGUGUAGCGGUGAAAUGCGUAGAUAUAUGGAGGAACACCAGUGGCGAAGGCGACUCUCUGGUCUGUAACUGACGCCGAGGUUCGAAAGCGUGGGUAGCAAACAGG
rnacentral:rRNA from 1 species